GCCGGAAUAGCACAAUUGGUAGUGCAGUCGCCUUGUAAGCGAAAGGUUGAGGGUUCAAGUCCUUUUUUCGGCA
rnacentral:tRNA from 1 species